rnacentral:rRNA from 1 species
AAAACUUUCAACAACGGAUCUCUUGGUUCUGGCAUCGAUGAAGAACGCAGCGAAAUGCGAUAAGUAAUGUGAAUUGCAGAAUUCAGUGAAUCAUCGAAUCUUUGAACGCACAUUGCGCUCAUUAGUAUUCUAGUGGGCAUGCCUGUUCGAGCGUCAUU